rnacentral:rRNA from 1 species
AUGAGCAAUUCGGCUGCUUUGGCACCAGCAUCACGCUCACGCGUGGCUGUGUUUCUUGCCUUCUCCCUCGUCUGGCUCUCCAGCCACGUCCUUGCCGCCGGACACCCUGACUACGCCGACGCGCUCGCCAAGUCGUUGCUCUUCUUCCAGGGGCAGAGGUCCGGCCGCCUGCCGGCGGACCAGGCCGUCAAGUGGAGGUCCAACUCCGCCAUGCCCGACGGCUCGGCCGCAAACGUUGACCUCACCGGCGGCUACUACGACGGCGGCGACAACGUCAAGUUUAAUUUCCCCAUGGCUUUCACCACGACCAUGCUGUCUUGGAGCAUCAUCGAGUACGGCGGGCGGAUGGAGGGGCGCGUACAAUAUACGUACACAAAUAAAGAAGCUAUACAUAGUCUAACAGCGACGGACUACCUCCUGAAGGCGGCCAAAACGACCCUGGACAAACUCUACGUCGGAGUGGGCGACGCCGACGCCGACCACCGCUGCUGGGAGCGGCCGGAGGACAUGGACACGCCGCGGAAUGUGUACGAGGUGUCGGCGUCCGCCCCGGGGUCCGACGUCGCAGGGGAGACCGCGGCCGCGCUCGCCGCAGCCAGCCUGGUCUUCAAGGCCGCCGACCCGGACUACUCCAGGAGGCUGGUCGCGGCGGCCAGGGACGUGAUGGCGUUCGCUUGGCAGCAUCAGGGGAAGUACAGCGACCACGUCGGCGGCGGCGUCAGCAACUACUACCCGUCCUACUCCGGCUACAAGGACGAGCUCCUAUGGGGAUCCGCAUGGCUGCUCUGGGCGACGAAGAACAGCUCCUACCUCAACGACCUCAUGUCCCUCGGCGCCAACGACGGCGUCGACAUGUUCAGCUGGGACAACAAGCUCGCCGGGGCGCGCGUCCUUCUGUCACGGAGGGCUCUGUUGGACAGGGACAAGAGGCUGGAGCCGUUCACGCGUCAAGCGGAGGAGUUCAUCUGCCGCGUCCUGCCCAAGUCCAGCUCCCCUUCGUCGACGACGCCGUACACGCCGGGCGGGCUGAUGCACCGGUCGGGCAACGCCAACCUGCAGUACGUCGCCUCGGCGAGCUUCCUGCUCACCACCUACGCCAAGUACAUGGCCGUCUCCAACCGCGCCUUCUCCUGCCAGAACCUCCCCGUCACCCACAAGGCCCUCAGGGCCCUGGCCAAGAGGCAGGUGGACUACGUGCUGGGCGACAACCCGCUGGGGAUGUCCUACAUGGUGGGCUACGGCGCCAGCUCCCCUCAUAGGAUACACCACAGGGCGUCCUCCAUGCCGUCCGUGGACGUGCACCCGGCGCACAUCGGCUGCCAGGAGGGUUUCCAGAGCUACCUCUACGCCGGUGGCCCUAAUCCCAACGUGCAUACCGGCGCCGUCGUCGGCGGGCCGGACCAGAACGACGCGUUCCCGGACGACCGCACUGACUACGCGCGGUCGGAGCCCACCACGUACACCAACGCACCCCUCGUAGGUUGCCUCGCCUACUUUGCCGGCAGCUACAAGAAAUGA